UUCACAAUUUUGACCUCGGAUCAGGUAGGGAUACCCGCUGAACUUAAGCAUAUCAAUAAGCGGAGGAAAAGAAACCAACAGGGAUUGCCCUAGUAACGGCGAGUGAAGCGGCAACAGCUCAAAUUUGAAAUCUGGCUCUUUCAGGGUCCGAGUUGUAAUUUGUAGAGGGUGCUUUGGAGUUGACUGUGGUCUAAGUUCCUUGGAACAGGACGUCGCAGAGGGUGAGAAUCCCGUAUGUGGCCGCCAGUCUUCGCCGUGUAAAGCCCCUUCGACGAGUCGAGUUGUUUGGGAAUGCAGCUCUAAAUGGGAGGUAAAUUUCUUCUAAAGCUAAAUAUUGGCCAGAGACCGAUAGCGCACAAGUAGAGUGAUCGAAAGAUGAAAAGCACUUUGGAAAGAGAGUCAAAAAGCACGUGAAAUUGUUGAAAGGGAAGCGCUUGCAGCCAGACUUGCCUGUAGUUGCUCAUCCGGGCUUUUGCCCGGUGCACUCUUCUAUGGGCAGGCCAGCAUCAGUCCUGGCGGUCGGAUAAAUGCCCGCUGAAUGUACCUCUCCUCGGGGAGGACUUAUAGCGGCGGGCGGCAUACGACCAGCCGGGAUUGAGGUCCGC
rnacentral:rRNA from 1 species